GUAAAUUUCGACACUUUUUCCCUCUCGAUAACGUUAACUGCGAACACUUCCCUAGCAUUUUAUGAUACAUUAAUAAACGCUCGCCGUUUUGGAUGAAUAAAGACUAGUAUUUCUGUAAAAAAUAACGAUCAAUCGGAGAUUUAGUAGCGACGAGCAAGUCACUGUUUGAUUUUGUUGCCUCUUAUAACAUCGCUUAUAGACCGUUACAUGGGACAGUCGUCUCCGUGCCCGCAUAUGAACGUGGGCUCCUGUGGAAAAUACGGCCUUUGUCCGCGUUCUCCGAAUACUGUGGAUCAUCUCAUAAGACAUACCUAUGACGUCAGUAUACUCUCUGAAUGUUACCAAUGACGUCAUCAACAAAAUAGUUACGACAUUUCCAAUUGCGGUGGUUAUGUUAUCGAACUCGUUCAAGUUGUGCCGUUUUUGCAGCAACUGAAAAACAUCGAAGGCAUCAAAAUGAUUGGAGACCGCGUACUUUAUAACUCUAUGGUCUGCUAAUCGUAACGAAUAUUUUACGAAUCUGGUGAGGGAGAGCAUUUGGUUCGGUUGGAAAUAUUCGGGGGCGCGGUAAUGUCCGCAAUGUCGAAGAAGGAAUAUGGGAAGCUGGAAUUACAAGAACCGGAACAUUGUUUCGUAUGUUGUUAUUUUGUUACCAAUUUACUUUCCAUUUAAUCUGUUUGUAACAGAUAAUCCCCACUAUGUUGUCACGUGACAGUUAUUGUCAUUUAUUGUGAAGAAAGGUGACUAAUACUUAUAAAACAAAAUAAAAUUAUGUCUGUAAUUGAAAAAAAAA